AGGUUUCAAGUACCCGUAUUGAGUUUCCAAGAACUUGUGCUAAGGUCCAAAGUAUCCUUGCGGAUCACGAGUAGAUAGUGAGUACCAAUGCUAAGGUUUCAAGUACUCGUGCUGAGCACCCUGUAAGGUUUGCCUGAAUCAAAUGGUUACCUUUAUAUUGAAGCAAAUGGUGGUCUGAAUCAGCAAAGGACAUCGAUAUGCAAUGCUGUUUCUGUGGCCGGUUAUCUUAAUGCGACCCUGGUCAUUCCACACUUCCAUUUUCAUAGCAUUUGGAGGGAUCCAAGCAAGUUUGGAGAUAUCUAUGAUGAAGAAUUUUUUGUCAAAUCCCUAGCCAAUGAUGUGCGAGUGGUGGACAAGAUUCCUGAUUAUAUUAUGGAACGAUUUGAUUACAAUAUGAGCAAUGUUUACAACUUCAGGAUCAAGGCUUGGUCCUCCAUCAGUUACUACAGGGAUACAGUUCUUCCAAAGCUGCUUGAAGAAAAGUGAGUUCCUGGACAUUUUUUUUUGUCACCGCUUUGACUCGUAGGCUGAACUGCCUUUACUUAGGAUGUUAGGCCUAAUUAUUGAUACGAGAUUUAUCCUUGUGAUGAUACGAUGGAGUCCUGGAGAUUGUUUGUAAUGGUGAUUGGUGAAGGUACGGGUGUUGGUGUGUGCCUAAGAAUCGAGAAUAGUAGUGGGUUAUUCUUGUUUUU